rnacentral:tRNA from 1 species
CCCGCCGUAGCUCAGCGGCAGAGCGCCCGGCUGUAGGUGGGGCUCAGGCCCCCCACGCGCCCGACACCCCCGACGGGGGCUGGAUGAGGGCGCGUCGGCAUCGGGGGCCUGGGAGGCAGAUACCGGGCGGUCCGGGGUUCGAAUCCCCGCGGCGGGACCA